GACGAACGCUGGCGGCGUGCUUAACACAUGCAAGUCGAACGGAAAGGCCCUGCUUUUGUGGGGUGCUCGAGAGGCGAACGGGUGAGUAACACGUGAGUAACCUGCCCUUGACUUUGGGAUAACUUCAGGAAACUGGGGCUAAUACCGGAUAGGAGCUCCUGCUGCAUGGUGGGGGUUGGAGAGUUUCGGCGGUUGGGGAUGGACUCGCGGCUUAUGAGCUUGUUGGUGGGGUAGUGGCUUACCAAGGCUUUGACGGGUAGCCGGCAUGAGAGCGUGACCGGCGACAAUGGGACUGCGGUACGGCGCAGACUCCUACGGGACGCAGCAGGGGGGAACAUUGCAGAACGGCGCGGAGCCUGAGGCAGAAACGUCGCGUGCGGGAAGCCCGCUUUCGGGUUGUAAACCGCUUUCGCCUGUGACGAAGCGUGAGUGACGGUAAUGGGUAAAGAAGCACCGGCUAACUACGUG
rnacentral:rRNA from 1 species